CGAUCAGAUGUUUACAUGUGU
rnacentral:siRNA from 1 species